rnacentral:rRNA from 1 species
AGGGAAAGGUGAAAAGCACUGCGAAUAGCAGAGUGAAAAAGUUCCUGAAACCGUACGCCUACAAGCGGUUGGAGCACUUUCGGGUGUGACAGCGUGCCUUUUGCAUAAUGAACCUACGAGUUGCCGUCGCCGGCAAGGUUAAGAGCAAAGAUGCUCGGAGCCGAAGCGAAAGCGAGUCCUAACGAGGCGCCCAGUCAGCGGCGGCAGACGCGAAACCAAGUGAUCUACCCUUGUCCAGGUUGAAGUCCGGGUAACACCGGAUGGAGGACCGAACCAAUAAGCGUUGAAAAGCUUCUGGAUGAGGUGAGGGUAGGAGUGAAAGGCCAAUCAAACUUGGAGAUAGCUCGUACUCCCCGAAAUGCAUUUAGGUGCAGCCUCGGGUGUUCCCUACGUGAGGUAGAGCGACUGAUCGGAUGCGAGGGCUUCACCGCCUAUCAAGUCCGGACAAACUCCGAAUGCGCGUAGGUCAUAACCCGGGAGUGAGGGCAUGGGUGCUAAGGUCCGUGCCCGAGAGGAGAAGAAUCCAGACCGCCAGCUAAGGCCCCGAAAUAUGGGUUAAGUUAAACUAACGAAGUGCGGUUCCCGUGACAGCUAGGAUGUUGGCUUGGAAGCAGCCAUUCAUUCAAAGAGUGCGUAACAGCUCACUAGUCGAGGGACUGUGCAUGGAUAAUAAUCGGGUAUGAAACCCAUUGCCGAAGCUGCGGGACAUCAUAUGAUGUCGGUAGGGGAGCAUUCCAGUGGCGUUGAAGGUAUGAGGACAACUCAUGCUGGAGCAUCUGGAAAAGCAAAUGUAGGUAUAAGUAACGAUAAAGAGUGUGAGAUGCACUCUCGCCGUAAGACUAAGGUUUCCCGGGCAACGUUAAUCGGCCCGGGGUGAGUCGGGACCUAAGGAUAAGCCGAAAGGCGAGGCCGAUGGCAGAAAGGGUUAAUAUUCCCUUACUACCUUUAUGGGCGACGCGGAGACGGAGAAGUGAAACUCUCGCGUGCAGACGGAAUAGCACGUUAAAGAGUGUAGACGUAGAUUAGGGUAGGCAAAUCCGCCCUAAGAGUCGAACUUGAUAGUACACAAAGCCUUCGGGCAGCGUGAUAGCAGAGGUAAGCAGGCUCCCAAGAAAAUCCGCUAAGCUUUAACCAUAGAGGUACCCGUACCGCAAACGGACACACGUAGUCGAGUAGAAUAUACUAAGGCGCUUGGAAGAUUCACGGUUAAGGAACUAGGCAAAUUGACCCCGUAACUUCGGAAUAAGGGGUCCUCACGCGAGUGAGGCGCAGAGAAUAGGUCCAGGCAACUGUUUAACAAAAACACAGGGCUGUGCGAAAUCGAAAGAUGAGGUAUACAGUCUGACACCUGCCCGGUGCCGGAAGGUUAAGAGGAGAUGUCAUCGCAAGAGAAGCAUUGAAUUGAAGCCCCGGUAAACGGCGGCCGUAACUAUAACGGUCCUAAGGUAGCGAAAUUCCUUGUCGGGU